UCCCCGACCUUCUCACUUCAGAAAGCGGAGGCCUCUGUGGACUCAGGCACUGAUUGAGUAAUACUGGGCCAACAUUCCCGAUGUGCCCCGUAAGACUGUGGGUGGCGUUUGUGCCUUCUCAUGGGCCGUUAAUACCCAUUUGCCACCCGCUCGUCAUUAACGCUUCCUCGUGCCCGACCUCUUGGAGGCGCUGGAGACUCGGAUGCGACAGCCAAAGCUCUUCAGGCCUUGGUGGAAAACUUUACCUGAGCAUCUCAUACGUCAUGGAUACAGAGGUGAAAAUUCGAAGUCUGACCUGGCGUGUAAACUGCAAAGAGCAUACUUGAGCUGUGUGGAGGGAGAAUGGCUCCGUGGUUAAGAGCGCUUGCUGCUCUGACAGAGGACCCAAGUACGGAGCUCAGCUCAGCAACCACAACAGGUGGUUCACAGCCUCCUUUAUGUCCAGCUCCAGCAUAUCCAAUGAUUUGGUCCUCUGCAGGCAGACAGAAAGACAGACCGACACACACAGAGAAAAGCAAAAUAUUUUUAAAAUGUUAAAGAGAAAAAGCAAAACACAGAGACACCUUUAAUCCCAGCACUCUGGCCUCAACUGCCUAUGCUCCAAGGAUGACCUCACUCAGUAUCCUCCUGCCUCCAUCUCCCAAGUGCUGGGUUUGCAGGCUUGUGCUACCUCAGCCUGCUGAUUGCCAUAUGUUUUUAUUUCUCUCAAAUAUUUGAAAUUAGAACUGUGGCUUUGCUGUUGGCUCUGCUGCUGUGGUUACCCAUGUUUCUGUUUUUUGUUUUUAACUGACAAACUGUUUCUGAAAGUGACGGCACCAUUUAACAUUCCCAUUGGGAGUGGAGGAAAGUUCCAGAUGCCCCACAUGUUCCCAACGAGAUAUAAAUACAUUCAGAAGAAAUAAACAAGAGAAUUGCAGUCCUGUCUCCUGGAAACAAUCACUGUCCUCACUGGGAAGGAUUGAACCCUGGUCACCAGGCUUGGCAGCAAGCACCUGUACCCUCAGAGCCAUCUCACUUUGUAUUCUGGAGCAGGGAGUGACUCUAUAGAUCCCUGGCAACACCUUCUCUUCUUCCACCCACCUUCUCCAACACUCCUGGGACAAAGGCACAAGCCCUGGUAUGUCUGGAGGCCAGAAGACAGCUGCAGGAGCUUCUUUUCUCCCUCCACCAAGUGGGAUCCAGGGGUCAGACCCAGGUCAUUGGGUCCUCUGGCAAGCCCAUUUAUCCAGUGAGCCAUCUUGCUAGACCCUACAGUACAUAAAUCUUUAGUGUAUUGCCCAAUGCUAAAAUUACCUAACUGCUCCAUUGAGCCAUAUUCAUGCCAUAUAAUUUCACCCAUUUCUAGUGUGCCAUACUUGAAAACGUUUUUUAAGAAAUGUAUUAGCUGGGGCAGGGUGUGGUGGUGCACACCUUUAUUCCCAGUGCUUGGGAGGCAGAGACAGGCAGAUCUCUGUAAGUUCAAGUUCAGCCUGGUCUACAGAGCAAGUUCCAGGACAGCCAGGGCUACAAAGAGAAACGUGGUCAAACCAUUCCUGGCCCCCAAAGAAACAGCACUGCCUCCUUCACCCUUUAUCGCCUUUAACUUGUUCCCCUGGCCUUGCCUGGGCAUUUCUUGCUAAAAGAAGCAUAAAAUCAGCCCAGCUCUGUGGCUGGAUUUAUUUGAUUUAUUAUUUCUUGUGUGUAAGUGUGUGUGAGUAUUGCAUAAAUAUGUUU